GAGGAAAGAAACCAACAGGGAUUGCCCUAGUAACGGCGAGUGAAGCGGCAACAGCUCAAAUUUGAAAUCUGGCUCUUUCAGGGUCCGAGUUGUAAUUUGCAGAGGGUGCUUUGGUGUUGGCGGCGGUCUAAGUUCCUUGGAACAGGACAUCGCAGAGGGUGAGAAUCCCGUAUGUGGUCGCCCGCCUUCGCCGUGUAAAGCCCCUUCGACGAGUCGAGUUGUUUGGGAAUGCAGCUCUAAAUGGGAGGUAAAUUUCUUCUAAAGCUAAAUACCGGCCAGAGACCGAUAGCGCACAAGUAGAGUGAUCGAAAGAUGAAAAGCACUUUGGAAAGAGAGUCAAACAGCACGUGAAAUUGUUAAAAGGGAAGCGCUUGCAGCCAGACUUGCCUGUAGUUGCUCACCCGGGCUCCUGCCCGGGGCACUCUUCUGCAGGCAGGCCAGCAUCAGUUUGGGCGGUAGGAUAAAGGCCCCUGACACGUAUCUCCCUUCGGGGUUAACAUAUAGGGGGGGCGCAAUGCUACCAGCCCGGACUGAGGUCCGCGCAUCUGCUAGGAUGCUGGCGUAAUGGCUGUAAGCGGCCCGUCUUGAAACACGGACCAAGGAGUCUAACAUCUAUGCGAGUGUUUGGGUGUCAAGCCCGAGCGCGUAAUGAAAGUGAACGGAGGUGGGAACCCCUCGGGGCGCACCAUCGACCGAUCCUGAUGUCUUCGGAUGGAUUUGAGUAAGAGCAUAGCUGUUGGGACCCGAAAGAUGGUGAACUAUGCUUGAAUAGGGUGAAGCCAGAGGAAACUCUGGUGGAGGCUCGCAGCGGUUCUGACGUGCAAAUCGA
rnacentral:rRNA from 1 species